rnacentral:misc_RNA from 1 species
GUAAAUUGUACCUGCUGCUUCUAGGGACAACAGCUCUCAGUCUGGUGACUACGCCAUUGCUUUUCAAGCUUAUACCUGGUGUAGUUCAUCUUGGUGUGCUGCUUAGGUGGUUCCCACCUGAUAGUCCAAGUGAGUUUGGAUUCAAAAGUGACAAUUUCCGAUCUGAUAGUGCUAAACAAAGGAUUGCACUGGUAUCCAAGGAUCUGAUUCACGAA